ensembl:lncRNA
CAACCAUCUCAUCCUCUGUUGUCCUCUUCUCCACUUGUCCUCAGUCUUUCCCAGCCUCAGGGUCUUUUCCAAUGAGUCCUGGAAAAACCGCGAGUGAGUUUGAAAGCUCCCCAUGGAGGAAGCCCUUUCUGAAGCAGCACUUUUGUGGUCCGCAUUCCCAUGAAGCUGCCCGAGAAGGAGGUGCCUUGGUGCCGAUCGCUGGAGGCUGGGUUGAGCCCGACGACGCGGUCCAUCCCGGUCCUUGUGAGCCUUUGUUCCUCUGCAGCGAGAGAUUGCUACAGCCUAGGCUUUGACUCACUCAAGCUCAUCUCCUUCCCCUGUGUCUCCAGGCUCUUUCUUCUUGGAGCCUCAGCCUUGACUGGGAGCCUGGAGUUCUGCUGACGACUGCGUCUUUAUGCCUUUGAGGCCCCAAGGCUGGGGAAUUUCCUCAUAUAUCAUGCUUGCUUGUUAAAUGAAUGGAUGGAUGGAUUAGUAGAUGAAUGUCCAAGUGGAUGGAUGAUGGAUCAGUGGGUGGAUGGUUGGGUGAAUGAAUAGAUAGAUGCGUGGUGAAUGGAUAUGUAGAUGGAUGGAUGGCAAAUGGACAGAUGGGUGGAUGGAUGGUUAGAUGGAUUUGUGGAUGGAUGUGUAAGUGAAUGGAUGAUGAAUGGAUGGAUGGAUGAAUGGUUGGAUAAAUAGAUGAAUGGAUGAUGAGUGGUUGGGUGGGUGGAUGGAUGGUUAGAUGGAUUUGUGGAUGGGUGCAUAAGUGAAUGGAUGGAUGAAUGCAUGGAUAAAUAGACGAAUGGAUGGCGAGUGGUUGGGUAGGUGGAUGGAUGGAUGGUUAGAGGCUUAGAUGGAUUUGUGGAUGGGUGCGUAAGUGAAUGGAUGAGGAAUGAAUGGAUAAAUAGAUGAGUGGAUGGCGAGUGGUUGGGUGUGUGGAUGGUGGCUCAUUCCAAUGGCACAAGCCUCUCGCCUCAUUUUCCAAAGUUUUCCUCUCUGAGGUUUUCACCAGGCUCCAUCCGCCUUGAACAGGCAGCUGGCCAUGUCACCUUGGCAGUCUGGGCCAUUCGUCUGCUUGAAUAGCUGUUCGGACCCAUGGAGUCUCCAGCUGGCCUUGUUGAUCCCUUGCUGUACUUCCAGAUUCACUAACAUUUGGGUCUCGGGGUCUAGCUUGGCCAACAGUACCCUGCCCAGCCCUCAUUAAUGAGGCCACAGUGCAACCAUCCACCACAGC